AGGACGAACGCUGGCGGCGUGCUUAACACAUGCAAGUCGAGCGGAAAGGCCUUUCGGGGUACUCGAGCGGCGAACGGGUGAGUAACACGUGAGUAAUCUGCCCAUCGCUUCAGGAUAGCCAUCGGAAACGGUGAUUAAUACUGGAUAUGACAUUCCUUCGCAUGUUGGGGUGUGGAAAGUUUUUGGCGGUGGAUGUGCUCGCGGCCUAUCAGCUUGUGGGUGGGUAAUGGCCUACCGAAGGCUUUGGACGGGUAGCCGGCCUGAGAGGGUGACCGGCCACGACGUGGGGACUAGGACGACC
rnacentral:rRNA from 1 species